GUCCUGAAGCGUUACCCGUGCCGUGAAUGCGAGCUCUCCUUCCACACCUCCGUCACCCUGCGCAGACACGUCCGCAACAACCACGACACAGCCAAGAAGGUCUACACCUGCUGGUACUGCCCCGAGGAGCGGCCCACCUUCCCCCAGCUUCCCCUGCUGGAGAGCCACAUCAGCCUUAUGCACGCAUCAAGAGCCCCGACUGGAGCCAGGCGUCCAAGGCCGCGGCUCCGGAGAGGGGACCCUGCCCAGAUGAGAGGUCUGAAGAGAGCAGCCGGCGCGGGCGGGGAAGGCCCGGGCCCGACCAACGGAGAGGCCAGCCCCGCCCCCAAAAGACUCCAGGCCCUCUUCCAGUGUGCGAAGUGCAGCUUCGCCACGGACUCGGGGCCCGAGUUCCAGGCCCACAUACCUCAGCACCGGACGGGCAGCUCCGCGGCCCAGUGCCGCUCUGCGGCCUCUGCUACACGUCGGCCGGCUCCCUCAACCGGCACCUCUUCAUCGUGCACAAGGUGAGAGACCCGGCGGAAGAGCAGGAGGAAGAAGCGGAGGAGGAGGGGCGGGGGCAGAAGAGGAGGAAGAAGAGGAGGAGGAGGAGGAGGAGGGAGGAGGAGGCCGGAGGGGGCGGCAGGAAGAGCCGGCCCCGCAGCCCCCCGCGGAGACGAGCGAGAACGGACACGAGGACCUGAACGGGGAGCCUCGCGGGGAGGGGGCGGGGGGCCCCGAGGACCGCGGGCCGGACGCGCAGAGCCAGCCGCCGGCCACUCGGGACCAGGAGGGCCGGUCUCCGCCGCCCCAGGUCUGACCGGACGCUCGGCGGGGCGGCCGGGCAGGGGAGGGGCCGGACCGGCCUGUAACCGCCCGAGGUCGACGGGAAAUAAAAGCUCUGGCCGUGGUGUGCGUGUGGCUGGCUGUGGCCCCUCGCGCCCCUCCCCGCCCUCGCCCGGCCCGGCGAGCGGAGCCCGGGCCGUUCCGGGUCUGCGGCCGCCACCCGCCGCCUCGCGGUCUUCUCCUCCUAUUUAUGGCCGGACGCUUCCUCCCGGCCCGCCGCCUCCCCUCCCCGCGGCGGGCACCCUCGGCCCGCUCCGCCCCUCUCUGCCCGUUCCCUCCCGUCGCCCGGCUCCGGCCCCCGGCUCAGGGUCUGUGAGAAGCAGCUGGCCUGCAGGCGGGCGGGAGGGACGCCCCUCCGCCCCCCCCGCCCCCGGAUCUGCCCGGGCCCCUCCUCCCCACGGAUGGUUCCGAAGGGUCGGUCGUAGUGGCCGCCUUGACGCCCCUGCCCCGCUCCCCGCCCCCCCCCCGGCCCUUGUCUUCCCUCCCACCCCCCGACCUCCACGGGGCGGGGGGUGACUGCAGAAACCCGAACGGGCCCCGUGGGGCUGGGGUCCCCGGGGGGGUCAGGGGCUUCCGAUGGGUGUGAGGGGGUCGCCGCCGCUCUCCCUCCCCCCCCCCCCCCCGGGGUUUUUGAUAUGAACUCUUUGGAAUCUUUGUACUUUUGAUACCGUGCCACCAGAGGGCGCCGCGGGGCGGGGGGGCGGCCCCCUCCCCAGGCCGCGCUCGUGUCGACUUGAGACUCUUUUGAAUAAAAGCUUCCUUCAACGCCGCAGCCGGCCGGAUCUCUCAUUCCGCCUCGGCCCCGGCCGGGGCCGAGCC
rnacentral:lncRNA from 1 species